rnacentral:lncRNA from 1 species
GUAUCACCCAGCAUCACCCAGGACAUCCCUGGACCACGCAGUGUCUCCCAGCACCCACCACUAUCCCCCAGUAUCCCCCAGUAUCCCCCAGCAUCACCCAGCAUCACCCAGAACAUCCCAGGACCACCCAGGACAUCCCAGCAUCACCCCAGCACCCACCCUGGCACCCCCCAGUAUCACCCAGUAUCACCCUGGCAUCUCCCCAGUAUAAUCCAGGACAGCCCAGGACAGCCCAGGACCACCCAGGGUCUCCCAGCAUCCACCAGCAUCCCCCAGUAUCAUCCAGCAUCACCCAGGACCACCCAGGACAUCCUAGCAUCCACCCUGGCACCCCCUGGCACCCCCCAGUAUCACCCAGUAUCACCCUGGCAUCUCCCCAGUAUCACCCAGGACAUCCCAGGACCACCCAGGACAUCCCAGUAUCACCCCAGCACCCACCCUGGCACCCCCCAGUAUCACCCAGUAUCACCCUGGCGUCUCCCCAGUAUAAUCCAGGACAUCCCAGGACCACCCAGGGUCUCCCAGCACCCACCAGCAUCCCCCAGUAUCACCCAGUAUUACCCAGCGUCAGCCAGGACAUCCCAGCACCCACCCUGGCACCCCCCGGCACCCCCCAGUAUCACCCAGGACAUCCCAGGGCCACCCAGGGUCUCCCAGCACCCACCACUAUCCCCCAGUAUUACCCAGUAUCAUGCAGCAUCACCCAGGACAUCCCAGGACCACCCAGGACAUCUCAGCAUCACCCCAGCACCCACCCUGGCACCCCCCAGUAUCACCCAGUAUCACCCUGGCAUCUCCCCAGUAUCACCCAGGACAUCCCAGGGCCACCCAGGGUCUCCCAGCACCCCCCAGUAUCACCCUGGCAUCUCCCCAGUAUAAUCCAGGACAGCCCAGGACCACCACCACGGGUGCCCCCAGGCCCCCAUCCCAGUCCCUUCCCAGUCCCGUCCCGCUGCAUCCCAACCCCCAUCCCAGUCCCGUUCCAGUCCCAUCACAGUGCC